UACGGAGGAUGCAAGCGUUAUCCGGAUUUAUUGGGUUUAAAGGGUGCGCAGGCGGAAUUGUAAGUCAGUGGUGAAAUCCUACAGCUUAACUGUAGAAUUGCCAUUGAUACUGCAAAUCUAGAGUUUAGUUGAAGUGGCUGGAAUGUGUCAUGUAGCGGUGAAAUGCAAAGAGAUGACACAGAACACCAAUAGCGAAGGCAGGUCACUAAGCUAAUACUGACGCUCAGGCACGAAAGCGUGGGGAUCAAACAGGAUUAGAUACCCUGGUAGUCCACGCUGUAAACGAUGAUAACUAGUUGUUGGCGAUACACAGCCAGUGGCCAAGCGAAAGCAAUAAGUUAUCCACCUGGGGAGUACGACCGCAAGGUUGAA
rnacentral:rRNA from 1 species